GGGAUUGUUACCUCACUACUUCUUGGUUGCCAAGUCAUGCUUCAUUCAUGGAUACUUCACCAUCAUUACUUAUGUCUGAUCACUAUUAAAGCUGUUUUCAUCUUUCAACUAUGAGGAAUGACAGUGCUGCUAACACUGGAAUGCUGACACUGGAAUGCUGACACUGGAAUGCUAACACUAUAAUGCUGACACUGGAAUGCUAACACUGAAAUGCUGACACUGGAAUGCUGACACUGGAAUGCUGACACUGGAACAUACCCUCUUGUCUGUGCUUGUAUGCCUUCCUCCAGGCUGGAUAUGGAUAUACAUAGAAGGGAACUGAAGAGCCUUGCGGUAGCUUUGUGUUGUCCUAGCAGGAAUAUUUAUUGAGCACAGUGCAAAGCAAACACGCUGAGACAGAAGAUGCUGUCAGCGUCAGAAGCUGAUCUUCUGCUGAAACUCCCAGGCUUCCGCAUCUGUUGCCAGCAGUGAGAUUUUCCAAGGAUGGUCUUUAUCAUGCAAAAGAAAACAUGUUAUGUAGCUAGGUCUUUGACUCUUUCA
rnacentral:lncRNA from 1 species